CCAUGCAUUUCAGUCCGAGCCCGACAGAGUCGACUUAUUUACGCCUCUGUGGCCGGGCAUCAAGCCUGUAUUAGGCUUCUCUUCUUUAUGUUUUAGACAUCCAUCUUUUAAAAGAAACUAGGAGAAUUUAGAGAUCGUAAAACAAAGAUAGAAAUAUGAUUUAUAACAUUUUACACUGACACAUGACACAGUCUGCUUGCACAUCAAUCAUCAUCAGCGGUGACUUGAAGUCGAGUAUGAUGGUCCACCUUGGGGGCCCGUCUUUGAGUGGCUGAAAAGGCCAAUCCUGGAGCCACAAACUUUCCUGCAGUGUGGGAAUUGAUGUGAGGAGUUGGAGGUGGAAGGAGGAAGAGACUUUUUAGUUGGGCUUCUCUCCUUUCUUUGCUGCCGCUCGACUCUGGCAGCCUGUCAGAAAUCGUCUUCAUGGAAUGUGCCUCCUUCAUAUGAUACGCAAGUUUUUUCCGCAACAUCUCUGCUGGUAGGACUCCAGCGCUCUUUUACGCCUGCGGUAGGUAGUUCAGGUGGUGAAAGCUCAGGUACUGGCUGGUUCGCAGAGGAGAGGGGACAUUUGAGGGCGGACUGAAGGGAGGCGUGAGGAUCGUCUACUUGUCAGACAUUUUAUCCCAGAUGACUGGAGCCCAGGUCCCCGUGCUGAUUGGCAGCUCGCAAGGGGGCGUGAACAUUGAAGAUUUUGCAGUGGGCAAUCCAGAAGCCAUUGUGAAGGAGCCCAUCAACAUUGUGGAGGGCAUUAAGAUGGAGUAGGCUGUCAAGGUAAAAUCAAUAGUAGAUGGAGCGAGUCACAGUACAGACUGGAGAUGUUCCAGCUGUGUGGUUUGGACUGCAGGAGAAAUCGAAGGAGAGGAGAGAGGGACGCCGCCGUGUGUGUGUUCACGCUGCAGAGUGGGCAUCACAAGAUGCUGUGUUUUCUUUCUUGAGAGGACACAGGUCCAAUCUCUGUCUCACAAAUCAAGUCUCCGUCUCAGCAGACGCCAUUCCUCCCACCUGGUGUUUGUUUUUAGAUCCUAAAGAAAGAUAUUUGAUAUCAUUCAGGAUUUGUGAUUUGGUUUCGGUGCCUGAUAAUAACACAUUUCCUUCCAACUCAGACAUUGACACCAACAAAGAUCAUCAACAAAGGCCUUAUAGAAAGCAGCCUGUGUCAACUGAUUGUCUGCAGUUUAAAAUAAUGAUGGCUGUUAUCCUCUACAGUCAGAAUAUACCCCUGGUUGAGGAGGAGGAUAUGACAAAUCUAUGUAAAGUGUUCUGAGAGCAAUUUAUUGACAGUUUUUCACAGAACAAGAACUGUCAUUUGAAGAAUCUCUAGCUCUGAAUUAACAAGAGCUGACAUACUCUCUCGCUAGAUGCCAUCAAAUCCUGCACGCUGCACCUUUUCAUUUAUUUUCCACUCAUCAGGAAUUUAUUUCCUCAGUGGCAGAAAUGUUGUUUGAUUUGCAGGAAUAGCGUUGGCGCAUCAC